rnacentral:rRNA from 1 species
UACGGGGGGGGCAAGCGUUGUUCGGAAUUACUGGGCGUAAAGGGCUCGUAGGCGGCCAACUAAGUCGGACGUGAAGUCCCCAGGCUCAACCUGGGAACUGCGUCUGAUACUGGAUGGCUUGAAUCCGGGAGAGGGAUGCAGAAUUCCAGGUGUAGCGGUGAAAUGCGUAGAUAUCUGGAGGAACACCGGUGGCGAAGGCGGGUCUCUGGGCCGUAACUGACGCUGAGGAGCGAAAGCGCGGGGAGCAAACAGG